UCUCCGUUGGUGAACCAGCGGAGGGAUCAUUAUCGAGUUUAUAACUCCCAAACCCUAUGUGAACUUACCACUUGUUGCUUCGGCGCGCACUUCGGCGCCGCCGAGGACACUUAAACUCUUUGUUUUUAUAAGCAUUUCUGAGUGGCCGAAAGGCAAAAUACAAAUGAAUCAAAACUUUCAACAACGGAUCUCUUGGUUCUG
rnacentral:misc_RNA from 1 species